AGUAGUAUUAUUAUAAAAAACUCAUAUAUGCUGGCGGUUUUAAUAUAUUAGAGAAACUCGCUUAUUAAUCGACAAUACCCGAUAAUUUUAACUUAACUUAUCAAGGCUUAUAUACCGCCGUUAUAUUAGGUUUUAUUAAACAUUAUAAUCCUUAUUUCUCAUCUAUAGAAAAAAAUCAGGUCAAGGUGUAGCGAAUAUUUAAGAUUAAGUAAGUUACACUAAACACAAUUUAAGGACUUUUUAUAAAAAUAAUAUUAUGAAAAAGAAUUUAUAAGUACACUUUAAUUAAAAAUCAAACUCGAAACAACCCAUUAAAACGC
rnacentral:rRNA from 1 species